rnacentral:tRNA from 1 species
GCCUACUUAGCUCAGCUGGUUAGAGCAUCCGUCUCAUACGCGGAAUGUCACUGGUUCAACUCCAGUAGUAGGUA